UACAGAGGGUGCGAGCGUUGUCCGGAAUCAUUGGGCGUAAAGGGCGCGUAGGCGGCUUGGUAAGUAGGGGGUGAAAUCUUGCGGCUCAACUGCAAGGCUGCCUCCUAAACUGUCAGGCUUGAGCACAGUAGAGGCAGGUGGAAUUCCCGGUGUAGCGGUGGAAUGCGUAGAGAUCGGGAAGAACAUCGGUGGCGAAGGCGGCCUGCUGGGCUGUUGCUGACGCUGAGGCGCGACAGCGUGGGGAGCAAACAGG
rnacentral:rRNA from 1 species